rnacentral:rRNA from 1 species
CACCUGAUCCCAUCCCGAACUCAGAAGUGAAACGCGCAUGCGCCGAUGGUAGUGUGGCUUUGCCAUGCAAGAGUAGGUCACCGCCAGGG